rnacentral:sRNA from 1 species
GCUGGGUAUAGUGGCACAUACCUGUAAUCUCAAUGGCACAGGAGGCUGAGGCAGGAGGAUUACAAGUUUGAGGUCAGCCUCAACAAUUUAGCAUGACCUUAAGCAACUUAAUGAGACCCUGCCUCAA